rnacentral:rRNA from 1 species
CACAUGCAAGUCAACUUGAGGGAAGGAGCAAUCUGACCUGAUGGUGGCGCGAGGGUGCGUAACGCGUAAGUAACUUGCCCCAAGGUAAGAAUAACGUCGAGAAAUCGGCGCUAAUACCUCAUAAUGCAGCGGAUCCGCAUGGAUAUGUUGUUAAAGGUUUACCGCCUUGGGAUAGGCUUGCGUCUGAUUAGCUAGUUGGUGUGGUAAUGGCACACCAAGGCUACGAUCAGUAACUGGUCUGAGAGGAUGAUCAGUCACACUGGAACUGAGACACGGUCCAGACUCCUACGGGAGGCAGCAGUGAGGAAUAUUGGGCAAUGCACGAAAGUGUGACCCAGCAACGCCGCGUGGAGGAUGAAGGUAUUCUAUAUCGUAAACUCCUGUGAGAGCAGACGAAAGACAGAUUAUUAAUUUGGAUGACUGUAUGCUCAGAGGAAGCCCCGGCUAACUACGUG